GGCUGGACGCUCCAAGAGCUGCCUGCAGUGUUCAGGAGGGGCCCGGCCAGAAAGCAGGUUCAUGACCUGCGGGGGAGUCUAAAUUUGUCUCAGCAGAUUUUCACCUGUUCAACUCUGUUCUGGGAUCAGCUAUAGACUACAAGCUGAGAUCUGGACUUCCUGAAAACUGACCUGAUUGCUCCCUGCCUCUUCCGGUGGAUCAACUGACCAGAUGCUUGGGACUGCCCUAUUGCCCAGCUUUUGACUGGCAUUUCAGCCUCCCCAGCCCCUGAUGCCUACGUCCAACGGUCAGCAUGAAGAAGCUACAGAAGACGGAUCUCCGCCCAAAUCCCCCCUAACAGGCUGAAAUGCUAAGUCAAAAGUGGCUCCCUGACAUUAGCUAUUAUCUUGAGCAUCUGCUUAGCUGCUGACCAUACUAAAUUGAUAAGAGAUAACAUGGCUAAACUCAGAAAAAGACUCAGACAGAGACAACAAUUCUUUGAGUCAGGACAGAGCUGGUACGAGAGAUGGUUUAGUCGGUCCCCCUAGAUUACCACCCUGAUCUCCUCCAUUAUGGGUCCCCUAAUCAUAAUUCUCCUGAUUCUACUAGUUGGGCCUUGUAUUCUAAAUUGGCUGAUCCAGUUCAUAAAAGAUCGGUUCUCUGUCAUACAAGCGUUUGUGUUGACCCAACAAUAUCAUCAGCUCAAACAACAGGGGACAGAAUUUAACUCUUCCUAGGCCCGAGAAUGGAAGAUUCCAUUCUAAGUUAAAAGAAAAUGGGGGAAUGAAAGACCCCAGCCUCACACUAAGUUAAACAUAGCUAAUGCCAUUUUGUGAGACACCACUGUUUUGUAAAACUCUGAAGGCCAGAUGAGAAACUGGAAAAUUACUGAGAAAUCCUAGCUGUGUCACCCACUUGGGAUAUCUGUGGUCAGGGUGCCCCAGUCAUACUAAAAACAGUUUAUGUUAAUCACUCUCAUAGAUAUCUGUGAGACUGUUUCAGCUAAGAUAGGGAAAAACAAAAUAACAGGUGGCGGGCCACGUCAAGGGGUCAUCCUACCCCCCUUGACCACCCAGUUCCUGGAAUCUUGGUGCCCCUGCCAAACUUUGACGCAAAUUGUGGUCUCCUGUAAACGUACCAAUCAGCCCCCUGUAACCAUGCCCUCUCGUGUCUGUACCAGUGCUACUGCCUCUAAAACCCUAUAAAAACCCCAGCUUCCCAUCUAGGGGGCGCGGAAGUCUUCCGAAAGACUUUUUGCCCCGGGUACCUGUGUAUCAAAAUAAAAGCCUCUUGCUGUUUGCAUCCGAA